GACGAACGCUGGCGGCGUGCUUAACACAUGCAAGUCGAACGGAAAGGCCCUGCUUUUGUGGGGUGCUCGAGUGGCGAACGGGUGAGUAACACGUGAGUAACCUGCCCUUGACUUUGGGAUAACUUCAGGAAACUGGGGCUAAUACCGGAUAGGAGCUCCUGCUGCAUGGUGGGGGUUGGAAAGUUUCGGCGGUUGGGGAUGGACUCGCGGCUUAUCAGCUUGUUGGUGGGGUAGUGGCUUACCAAGGCUUUGACGGGUAGCCGGCCUGAGAGGGUGACCGGCCACAUUGGGACGGAGAUACGGCCCGGACUCCUACGGGAGGCAGCAGUGGGGAAUAUUGCACAAUGGGCGGAAGCCUGAUGCAGCAACGCCGCGUGCGGGAUGACGGCCUUCGGGUUGUAAACCGCUUUCGCCUGUGACGAAGCGUGAGUGACGGUAAUGGGUAAAGAAGCACCGGCUAACUACGUG
rnacentral:rRNA from 1 species